rnacentral:rRNA from 1 species
AAUCAACGCUGGCGGCGUGCCUAACACAUGCAAGUCGAACGCGACUGGGGCUUCGGCCUCAGUUGAGUGGCGAACGGGUGAGUAACACGUGGGUGACCUACCUUCGAAUGGGGGAUAACGUCCCGAAGGGACGCUAAUACCGCAUAACAUCCUGCCUUUGAACAGGCGGAGAUCAAAGCCGGGGAUCGCAAGACCUGGCGUUUGAAGAGGGGCCUGCGUCCGAUUAGCUAGUUGGUGAGGUAACGGCUCACCAAGGCGACGAUCGGUAGCCGGCCUGAGAGGGCGGGACGGCCACACUGGGACUGAGACACGGCCCAGACUCCUGCGGGAGGCAGCAGUGGGGAAUUGUUCGCAAUGGGCGCAAGCCUGACGACGCAACGCCGCGUGGAGGAUGAAGGUCUUCGGAUUGUAAACUCCUGUUGCCCGGGACGAAUAGCUCCGACCUAACACGUCGGAGUCUGACGGUA